AUUUGGCGGGGAAAACACAAGCGUUUCGCCAGCCAGCCAAUCACGUGUCUCGCGUCAUUCUCAAUCGCAUCUCGUGAAACACGUACUUCAUGGAUUAAAUCGCGUGUCCAAUUCGAAAUAAUUCAAAUCAGGAUCAUCGGACAAAUAAAGUUUUUGCAUCAGAGAAAGAGGGAGAGAGAACGUAGCUAUAAUUUGAUAUUUUCAUCUGUUUUUAUGAACAAGGAAAUUCCUUCUUUUGGGAUAUACGAUAUUUACGACAAGCUUCCGGACAGUGACGUUCCAAGUAACGUCUUUGCGAGAAAGCUUUAAAGCAGACA